rnacentral:rRNA from 1 species
GACAGAGGGUGCAAACGUUUGCUCGGAAUUACUGGGCGUAAAGCGCGUGUAGGUGGAUUGGUGUGUCAGAUGUGAAAUCCCUGGGCUCAACCCAGGAACUGCACCUGAAACUACCAGUCUUGAGUGGUGGAGAGGGAAGUGGAAUUCCUGGUGUAGAGGUGAAAUUCGUAGAUAUCAGGAGGAACACCAGUGGCGAAGGCGGCUUCCUGGACACCAACUGACGCUGAGACGCGAAAGCGUGGGGAGCAAACAGG